rnacentral:rRNA from 1 species
UCGCACCUACCGAUUGAAUGGUCCGGUGAAGCCUCGGGAUUGCAACUAGUACCUUUACUGUUGUUGGAUGCAAGAACUUGUCUAAACCUUAUCAUUUAGAGGAAGGUG